GGGCUAGUAAAGGUUUCGACGGGGGUUUUGAAGUUGGGGCAGCCAUCCGAAGGUACCGCGUAAGGUGCAAAAAUAAAUAUAAACGCUGAAGAUAAUUUAGCAAUCGCUGCCUAAUGGCAGCUGUCUGACUCAGAGCACCCACACUUUGUGACCCAGGCAUCGACUAUGUGGGAAACGACACACGUUAAGCUUUGCACGUGUGGGCGUAUCAUGAAGCUACUGAAGCUGUAAACCUGCCGGUUGGUGUACAGCGGAGGGAAUGUCAAAUAAGCGGCUGUGAUGGGAGAUACCGCGAUGGAUGGGCUUUCGGACAGGGGUUCGACUCCCCUCUGGUCCACUA
rnacentral:tmRNA from 1 species